rnacentral:misc_RNA from 1 species
UGAAAGGCGAAACGUAAUGUGAAUCGCAACUAACAGUGAAUCAUCGAAUCUUUGAACGCAGGCCGCACCUUGCAGUAUCACUCUGUGUUACUGCAAGGUAUUUACGUGUGAGUGUCAGCCUAAUAUCCAUUUGGUUCAUGAGGGGAUAUCUAAUCAACUCGUGAAUGCACACAUGUCAAGAGACAUAUCUCUGGAGACAAAUUGUGUGUCUGGCCUCACAUGUGAAAGGUUACCCGCUGGAUUUAA